UCUCGUAAUAUAUUAGCAUAUUUGGGAUGGAAUGCACUGGGGAACAUUAAGUAUUCUGAAUAUGUCGGCGUCUUUGGAUAUGAGUGAGAAAAGCACACAGCGUCUUUGCUUGAUGAGUUCGUUUGUCGUUUGGCUAUCUAAUGUGAGAAA
ensembl:ncRNA C14F11.8 ncRNA